rnacentral:rRNA from 1 species
GACGGAGGGUGCUAGCGUUGUCCGGAAUCACUGGGCGUAAAGGGCGCGUAGGUGGUGGCUUAAGCGUGCGGUGAAAGCUCGGAGCUCAACUCCGAGUCGGCCGUGCGAACUGGGCUCACUGGAGCAUAGUAGAGGCAGGUGGAAUUCCGGGUGUAGCGGUGGAAUGCGUAGAGAUCCGGAAGAACACCGGUGGCGAAGGCGGCCUGCUGGGCUAUGGCUGACACUGAGGCGCGACAGCGUGGGGAGCAAACAGG